AACGAACGCUGGCGGCAGGCUUAACACAUGCAAGUCGAGCGCCCCGCAAGGGGAGCGGCAGACGGGUGAGUAACACGUGGGAAUCUACCCAUCCCUACGGAACAACUCCGGGAAACUGGAGCUAAUACCGUAUACGCCCUUCGGGGGAAAGAUUUAUCGGGGAUGGAUGGGCCCGCGUUGGAUUAGCUAGUUGGUGGGGUAAAGGCCUACCAAGGCGACGAUCCAUAGCUGGUCUGAGAGGAUGAUCAGCCACAUUGGGACUGAGACACGGCCCAAACUCCUACGGGAGGCAGCAGUGGGGAAUAUUGGACAAUGGGCGCAAGCCUGAUCCAGCCAUGCCGCGUGAAUGAUGAAGGCCUUAGGGUUGUAAAGUUCUUUCACCGAUGAAGAUAAUGACGGUAGUCGGAGAAGAAGCCCCGGCUAACUUCGUGCCAGCCGCCGCCGUAA
rnacentral:rRNA from 1 species